rnacentral:lncRNA from 1 species
AUGUCCCCAAAAUGUCACAAAAUGUCCCCAGGUCCUGUGCCAGUGCUCCCAGUGUCCCCAGAGUGUCCCCAGGUCCUGUCCCAGUGCUCCCAGUUACCCCCAGUGCCCCCCAGUGUCCCCAGAGUGUCCCCAAAGUGUCCCCAUGUCCUGUCCCAGUGUUCCCAGUGCUCCCAGUUACCUCCCCAAUGUCCCCAAAGUGUCCCCAGAGUGUCCCCAGGUCCCGUCCCAGUGCUUCCAGUUUCCCCUCAGUGCGUCCCCAAUGUCCCCAGUGUGCCCAGUGUCCCCCCAGAGUGUCCCCAGGUCCUGUCCCAGUGUCCCCAGUGCCCCCCCCAGUCCCCCCCAGUGCCCCCCAAUCCCCUCCCAGUGCCACCAAUCCCCUCCCAGUUACCCCCAGUCCCUCCCAGUCCCCCCCAGUGCCCCCAGUCCCCCCCAGUGCCCCCCCAGUGCCCCCCAAUCCCUCCCAGUGCCCCCAGUCCCCCCCAGUGCCCCCCAGUGCCCCCCAAUCCCCUCCCAGUGCCCCCCAGUCCCCUCCCAGUUACCCCCACUCCCCCCAGUCCCCCCAGUGCCCCCCCAGUCCCCCCCAGUGCCCCCCAGUGCCCCCCAAUCCCCUCCCAGUGCCCCCCAAUCCCCUCCCAGUUACUCCCAGUGCCCCCCAAUCCCCUCCCAGUGCCCCCCAGUGUCCCCACUCCCUCCCAGUUACCCCAGUGCCCCCCAAUCCCCUCCCAGUGCCCCCAGUGUCCCCCUCCCUCCCAGUUACUCCCAGUGCCCCCAAUCCCCCCCAGUGCCCCCCAGUGUCCCCACUCCCCUCCCAGUCCCCCCCACUCCCCCAGUGCCCCCCAGUGUCCCCAGUUUGGCCGUGCCGGGUCCCAGCGUCGCCUUUAUUGUACAAAAUCAUUAAAAACCCCAGAACAGCCCCAAUCCCGUGUCCCCUCCCCCCCCCACCGCAGCCCCUCCGCCGUGACGUCAUUGCCCCCCCUGUGUGACGUCAUCGUGCCACGUGUCCCUCUGUGA